UGGGGAAUUUUGGACAAUGGGGGCAGCCCUGAUCCAGCAACGCCGCGUGAAUGAAGAAGGCCUUAGGGUUGUAAAGUUCUUUUAUCCUAGAGCAAAACGAAUUAGUUAAUACCUAAUUUGGAUGAGAGUAUAGGAAGAAUAAGCACCGGCUAACUACGUGCCAGCAGCCGCGGUAAUACGUAGGGUGCGAGCGUUAAUCGGAAUUACUGGGCGUAAAGGGUGCGCAGGCGGAUAUGUAAGUUAGAUGUGAAAUCCCAGAGCUUAACUUUGGAACAGCAUUUAAGACUGCAAGUCUAGAGUUUGUGAGAGGGGGGUAGAAUUCCAAGUGUAGCAGUGAAAUGCGUAGAGAUUUGGAGGAAUACCGAUGGCGAAGGCAGCCCCCUGGCAUAAAACUGACGCUCAGGCACGAAAGCGUGGGUAGCAAACA
rnacentral:rRNA from 1 species